rnacentral:rRNA from 2 species
AGAGUUUGAUCCUGGCUCAGGAUAAACGCUGGCGGCAUGCCUAAUACAUGCAAGUCGAACGGGAGUGCUUGCACUCCAGUGGCGAACGGGUGAGUAACACGUAUCUAACCUACCUUUUAGUGGGGGAUAACUUUUGGAAACGAAAGAUAAUACCGCAUAUUAAUAUCAUUAUCGCAUGAGAAGAUAUUCAAAGAUCCGUUUGGAUCGCUAAAAGAUGGGGAUGCGGCGUAUUAGUUAGUAGGCGGGGUAAUGGCCCACCUAGACAAUGAUACGUAGCCGAACUGAGAGGUUGAUCGGCCACAUUGGGACUGAGAUACGGCCCAGACUCCUACGGGAGGCAGCAGUAGGGAAUUUUUCACAAUGGACGAAAGUCUGAUGAAGCAAUGCCGCGUGAGUGAUGACGGCCUUCGGGUUGUAAAGCUCUGUUGUAAGGGAAGAAAAAAUUUGAGAGGAAAUGCUCUUAUCUUGACGGUACCUUACCAGAAAGCCACGGCUAACUAUGUGCCAGCAGCCGCGGUAAUACAUAGGUGGCAAGCGUUAUCCGGAUUUAUUGGGCGUAUAGGGUGCGUAGGCGGUUUCGCAAGUUUGAGGUUAAAGCCCGGAGCUCAACUCCGGUUCGCCUUGAAAACUGUGGGACUAGAAUAUCAGAGAGGUAAACGGAAUUCCAUGUGUAGCGGUAAAAUGCGUAGAUAUAUGGAAGAACACCAGUGGCGAAAGCGGUUUACUGGCUGAUUAUUGACGCUGAGGCACGAAAGCGUGGGGAGCAAAUAGGAUUAGAUACCCUAGUAGUCCACGCCGUAAACGUUGAGUACUAAGUAUUGGGGAUUACCUCAGUGCUGCAGCUAACGCAUUAAGUACUCCGCCUGAGUAGUAUGCUCGCAAGAGUGAAACUCAAAGGAAUUGACGGGGACCCGCACAAGUGGUGGAGCAUGUGGUUUAAUUCGAAGCAACACGAAGAACCUUACCAGGGCUUGACAUCCAGUGCAAAGCUACAGAGAUGUAGUGGAGGUAAACAUUGAGACAGGUGGUGCAUGGUUGUCGUCAGUUCGUGCCGUGAGGUGUUGGGUUAAGUCCCGCAACGAACGCAACCCUUGUCGUUAGUUACUAACAUUAAGUUGAGGACUCUAACGAGACUGCUAGUGUAAGCUAGAGGAAGGUGGGGAUGACGUCAAAUCAUCAUGCCCCUUAUGUCCUGGGCUACACACGUGCUACAAUGGCUGGUACAAAGAGUCGCAAUCUCGCGAGGGGGAGCUAAUCUCAAAAAACCAGUCUCAGUUCGGAUUGAAGUCUGCAACUCGACUUCAUGAAGCCGGAAUCACUAGUAAUCGCGGAUCAGCUAUGCCGCGGUGAAUACGUUCUCGGGUCUUGUACACACCGCCCGUCAAACCACGAGAGUUGGUAAUACCAGAAGUACGUAGCCUAACCGUAAGGAAGGCGCGUCCCAAGGUAGGACUAGCGAUUGGGGUUAAGUCGUAACAAGGUAUCCGUACGGGAACGUGCGGAUGGAUCACCU